rnacentral:tRNA from 1 species
UAUCCGUUAAUGUAAAGAGCAUAAAAAGUUUUGAUCUUUUUAGAGAUGGUGCGAUUCCAUCACGUAUAA